UGUAGUACCAGACAUUGAGUCAGACGAUGCAGAGCCCACGGAGGACAUUGAUACCUAUAUCAGGGAGGAGCCCGCUGCUGGGUUGCCAGCAUUUCUUUCAGAUUCUCCUAAUAUUAGUACUUUCGUGAUUCAGCACUCGGCACAAUACUUAGAGCAGAGUCUUCAUCUGAUGACCUUUGAGAGAGACCAGAUUCGAUCUAUGAUGUCGACUGCUCUUGAUGUGAGGGAUGCCGCUCUAUUGGAGAGAGACGAGGCAUUGCUCGUAGAGAUGCCUCUAUUGCUGAGUGUGAUGAGGCCAGGUCAGCCAUAGACGCAGUUAUAGUUGAGCGGGAUGUAGCCAUCAUAGAUAGUACUGCAGUGAGGUCCCUUACCACUGGUAUGAUCGCGGAGAAGAGCGCUUAUAUUGAUGACCAUAUGGUCAUCAUGCAGAUGGCUACAAAACUGUUGGGUCGUGUGGAUAUUCUUAUACAGGAGACCACAGCUUCCCCUCCAUCUUCGGAGAGGGACGCCAUGUUGGGCUUCUUAGCACGCAUAUACCCUGAUUUGUAGAUGAGCUUGUAUUUACCUGCACAGACUAGCUUAGCCAUUUUUUCAUGUACAGUUUACAUUGUAUAUAUAUCAAAUAGCAUUAUAU
rnacentral:lncRNA from 1 species